UGUUUUAGAUCAGGGGCAGCUAUGAAACUCGAUUUGGGGCUAUUACAUUUCAUGUGUAUAUUAAUUCUGCUGUAUUGUGCAGUAAAGUAUGGAAGAACUGUUAACCUGAUCUCUGGAGAAGGUUUAUCUGCCAUUGGAAGUGUCUUUCAUGCACAAAGGAUAUCUGAGGAGGAGGUAGGAGAACCUGGUUCUGAACCUUCUGGUGCACUACGUCUGCUGCCCUGCUGGCAAGUGUAUUUAUAGAGAGCCGUUAAUUCAUGCCCAGCCAUUGCCUUGUUCAGCUGCAUGAACUCAACUUGCCGGGUCAUCUCAUUUGAUUGGAGAGUUUCUUCUUCCCCUGAAAAUCCUCAAAGCCUUUACUGAACAAGAUUUCUCUGACUGCUUCCCAGGGCUGCAUUUGUCACAAGAAGCUGGUGGAAGCAACCGUCCUGGCACAAAUUACUUGUAGUUCCCUUAGCUCAAUAAAGUGAGUCAAUGAUGUCAGUGCUGUGUAUGGUGCUAUUUAUUCUUCUCACCUUAAA